CUAAUAUCCCACAUUCACGUCUUUCACAUCCAAGUAAAAUCUGUGAGAAAAACCUACUACAGUUUUCUCCUCUUCCGUCAAGUGUAAAAGAGAAACUGGGAGAGCUGUGAUUACCUUCUGUGGUGCAAACUUUCUUCUUCCCAAAGGGUGAGCUUGUGCACGUUGUUUGCGGUGGGAACAGAAAGUGAUUGAGGAGUAAGCGUUUGAGAUUGAGCGGCGAUGGACGUGGAGGAUGUUGAGCAGAGUUCAUGGAUUGUUUUGUCAUGAUUAAUAAUUGUUGGAUUUGUCGUGUCUUCAUACUCGGCAUUUUCUGUGUCUUGAACGCUUCCGCUAAGAGUCCUUUUCUUUAGAAUUGUUUAUUCGUGCAGAGUCUAACUCGUUUGAAAAUUGUUUACUGUCCACUGUUUAUUUCCUUAGAGUUGGUAUUAUUGUUAGGAAAAUAUUAUGACGUUUUCAAGGUUAAUUCAGUUAUUAAGAUUUUGGUCAAA